rnacentral:lncRNA from 1 species
GCAGGACUGCUCUUGGCAGCUAUGUUCUCCCUGGAUGGAGAGAAGGCCUGUGUGUCUAUGGGACCUCGUCUGGGCCCUGCCUUUGUUCUCAUGCAGCAACUGUCUCCAGGAGAUGGAGAUGACAUCAGAAUAGCCGGAGCAGGUGUGAUCCAAGGUUCUGCAAGGAAAAGGAAGGAUGGUGUGGAGUGUGUUGCUGCAGGGAAGGCUUCCCAGUGGAGGUGGCUCCUGAGCUCUAGGAAAAGGGAACACCCCCACGGCCGCGGCCCAGAUCCUCCCCGCUUUGCCCACCGGCCUCCAUCUCUGUCCUCAGGCCCGCUGGAGUCACAAGCCCCAUCCCAGACUCUCCAACGCUGGACCUGCAGCGCCCAGCCCUGCCCUGGUGCUACCACCUGCCAGCUCUGUGCCUGCCCCUCCACUAGAUCAUGACUUCGGCUCCAGCUCCCUCACUCUCCAUGCCUCUCACUUGCGGGUUGUGCCCUGCUCAGCUGGCCAGACUUUGGCCCCCUCCCUACCUGGAUUUGUGAAGCCCCAAAUUUCAUCUCCCCCACCACACUUAUUCACAGCCUCCGCCUGCUGACAUACCCAGGCAAGACUCCCUUCCCCUCCAGGCAGCCAAACUUCAGUUCGAAUCUUCUGGCUCUUACCAGACCCCUGAUGAAUCCCAGGAUCUUCGCAGGUGGUCCCAGGGCCUCUUUGAACCACAGUUUUACUUAUCUGAAAAAUAAAAAGGCAUGAUUUAGAUGA